AUUGAACGCUGGCGGCAGGCCUAACACAUGCAAGUCGAGCGGAUGAAGGGAGCUUGCUCCUGGAUUCAGCGGCGGACGGGUGAGUAAUGCCUAGGAAUCUGCCUGGUAGUGGGGGAUAACGUCCGGAAACGGGCGCUAAUACCGCAUACGUCCUGAGGGAGAAAGUGGGGGAUCUUCGGACCUCACGCUAUCAGAUGAGCCUAGGUCGGAUUAGCUAGUUGGUGGGGUAAAGGCCUACCAAGGCGACGAUCCGUAACUGGGCUGAGAGGAUGAUCAGUCAAACUGGAACUGAGACACGGUCCAGACUCAUACGGGAGGAAGCAGUGGUGAAUAUUGGACAAUGGGCGAAAGCCUGAUCCAGCCAUGCCGCGUGUGUGAAGAAGGUCUUCGGAUUGUAAAGCACUUUAAGUUGGGAGGAAGGGCAGUAAGUUAAUACCUUGCUGUUUUGACGUGACCAACAGAAUAAGCACCGGCUAACUUCGUG
rnacentral:rRNA from 1 species